GUGUGGACGCCAGUCUGCAUGGAGCCGACCUUGAAAUACCACCCUUUAAUGUUUGAUGUUCUAACGUUGGCCCGUAAUCCGGGUUGCGGACAGUGUCUGGUGGGUAGUUUGACUGGGGCGGUCUCCUCCUAAAGAGUAACGGAGGAGCACGAAGGUUGGCUAAUCCUGGUCGGACAUCAGGAGGUUAGUGCAAUGGCAUAAGCCAGCUUGACUGCGAGCGUGACGGCGCGAGCAGGUGCGAAAGCAGGUCAUAGUGAUCCGGUGGUUCUGAAUGGAAGGGCCAUCGCUCAACGGAUAAAAGGUACUCCGGGGAUAACAGGCUGAUACCGCCCAAGAGUUCAUAUCGACGGCGGUGUUUGGCACCUCGAUGUCGGCUCAUCACAUCCUGGGGCUGAAGUAGGUCCCAAGGGUAUGGCUGUUCGCCAUUUAAAGUGGUACGCGAGCUGGGUUUAGAACGUCGUGAGACAGUUCGGUCCCUAUCUGCCGUGGGCGCUGGAGAACUGAGGGGGGCUGCUCCUAGUACGAGAGGACCGGAGUGGACGCAUCACUGGUGUUCGGGUUGUCAUGCCAAUGGCACUGCCCGGUAGCUAAAUGCGGAAGAGAUAAGUGCUGAAAGCAUCUAAGCACGAAACUUGCCCCGAGAUGAGUUCUCCCUGAGACUUAGAGUCUCCUGAAGGAACGUUGAAGACGACGACGUUGAUAGGCCGGGUGUGUAAGCGCAGCGAUGCGUUGAGCUAACCGGUACUAAUGAACCGUGAGGCUUAACCUUACAACGCCGAAG
rnacentral:rRNA from 1 species